rnacentral:tRNA from 1 species
GGACUUAGCUCAGUCAGUAGAGUGUAGCACUAACAACGCUAAGGUUGCGGGUUUGAUUCCCGCUUGGUCUC